CAGCAGCCGCGGUAAUACGAAGGGGGCUAGCGUUGCUCGGAAUGACUGGGCGUAAAGGGCGCGUAGGCGGCCAUUCAAGUUAGAUGUGAAAGCCCUGGGCCCAACCUAGGAAUUGCAUUUGAUACUGUUUGGCUUGAGUUCGGGAGAGGUGAGUGGAAUUCCCAGUGUAGAGGUGAAAUUCGUAGAUAUUGGGAAGAACACCAGUGGCGAAGGCGGCUCACUGGACCGACACUGACGCUGAGGCGCGAAAGCGUGGGGAGCAAACAGGAUUAGAUACCCCAGUAGUCCCUGUCUCUUAUAC
rnacentral:rRNA from 1 species